rnacentral:rRNA from 1 species
GGAAUUUUCCGCAAUGGGCGAAAGCCUGACGCAGCAACGCCGCGUGAGGGAUGACGGCCUUCGGGUUGUAAACCUCUUUCAGCAGGGAAGAACGAAAGUGACGGUACCUGCAGAAGAAGCACCGGCUAACUACGUGCCAGCAGCCGCGGUAAUACGUAGGGUGCAAGCGUUGUCCGGAUUUAUUGGGCGUAAAGAGCUCGUAGGCGGUUAGUCACGUCGGAUGUGAAAUCCCAAGGCUUAACCUUGGGCCUGCAUUCGAUACGGGCUGACUAGAGUGUUGUAGGGGAGACUGGAACUCCUGGUGUAGCGGUGAAAUGCGCAGAUAUCAGGAAGAACACCGGUGGCGAAGGCGGGUCUCUGGGCAACUACUGACGCUGAGGAGCGAAAGCGUGGGGAGCAAACAGGAUUAGAUACCCCUGUAGUC